UAAGAAACGGUGUCGUUUCCCUCUUCUUCCGCCGUCCAUCUUCUAGAUUCUUCUGCAAAUGCUCCCAACUUCCUGUAGAAUACACUGAAGCUUUCUCAAGAAGGAUGGAAAUGGCGGCCCUUAAACCCCAUCAUCGCAUUGGUCAGUUUUAGCACUAAUUUUCCUCUUUUGUGUAGCAGCAAAUUUUGGGAUUUGUAUAAAGUUUGGUACUUUAUUUUAUUGGGAGAUUUUAGUUAUAGAAUUGUUCGUUUAAUUGCAUGAUUACACCAUUCAGUGUAGGGAAUUUUGUAUAAUGCUGUAUUGUUUAAUUAUGUUUACAUAUGUGGUAAUGUUAGAAAGAUUGAAAGACUGAAUUAUUUUGUUAAGGUGUAUUUUCUGUUAAAUUUGAAUUUGAUUUAGAAUUAGAAUUAGAAUUAGCUUAGAUGUGUUGUAAAUGAGUGGCUUAAGCUGAGUGUAGGUAAGUUCGGAUAAGGCCUUGUUCUUUUGGACUUAUUUUCAGUUGCGUUCAUUUCAGUUAACUCUCUGCAUUUCAGUUUCUCUCAGUUCAGUUCAGUUUCUGUGAGUUUAAAAGAAUGGGGUUUAAGUUUAGAUAUGUUCAGAUAAGUCAAAUUUAGUUGCAUAGAACCCGUCCUUAGGAAACAAGAAAUAUGGGAAGCUUGGUAUUUUAAGUACUUGAAGAUGUUAAGCUUGAUGCUUGUGUUGAUUCGGUUUUAGUGUAGAACUGAGUCGAGCUUAGGAGUAUACAUCUUUUCUCUUACAUGCAGUUAAACUAUUGGGACACGUUUCAAACUUUGCCAAAAUGGUGAAAGGAAGGAAUUCUUAUAGUUUGAAAUAUACUUUAGCAAUGUCGCUCAAGUGCCAAAUUUUUGGUCGUAAGGACAAUGAUGAUGAUUUAUACUUUUGACUGACGGUCUAUUGUAUUGGUCCUUUUGGUUUGAUGGAAAAUGAUUUUUCAUGGAAAAACAUUUUCUAGUGGAAAACACAAUUGUAGAUUAAUUUUCCAUUUUCUGGUUGCUUGUGUGAAGAGUUAGAGAGAAUAGGAAGGAUUUCAAAGAAAGGAGGGGUGGAGAGAAAAGAAAGAGGAAGGUGAAGAAUAAGCAGGAAAAUGUGGCAUUUCUUCCUUGAAGAAGGAAAUUGUUUCUAUGGGAGUCUCUGGUGGUGCUGACAGUAUGGCCUUAUGUGCUCUGAUGGCACAUUGGAAGACUUUUCCCAAUGGUGGUUGUUUUGACAGUUCUGGCUUUGUAGAUGGCUUACUUGCUAUUAUUGUUGACCAUGGGCUCCGGUUGGAGAGUAAAGAAGAGGCGGUGACUGUUUCUCGCUGGGUUUCUGACAUGGGAAUCAGAUACAAGAUUGUGCGUUGUGAUUGGCCUGAUGGUCACCCAAAGGUGGGGCACUUGGAAGAAAAAGCUCGUGAUAUGAGGUAUAAUAUUUUUCAAGAUGUUUGCUUCCAAAAUGAGAUUGGUGUACUACUUACUGCACACCAUGCAGAUGAUCAGGCUGAGUUGUUUAUCCUGAGGCUAUCUCGCAAUAGUGGAGUGCUUGGACUUGCAGGAAUGGCAUUUACUUCUCAGUUAUUCUGUAAAUUUCCAUGUUUUGUUAGUGGUUCAUUAGACUAUCAAGGCAUUCUAUUGGUACGGCCCCUCAUGGAAUUUACAAAAGAAGAUCUAUACAAGAUAUGCACUACCGAGGAUCAAAAGUGGGUCGAAGAUCCCACAAACCGAAGCUCAUUAUUUGCUCGAAAUAGGAUUCGUAUGGAAUUACAAGAUACGAAAACCUGUAGAUUCAGAUCUGAACUACAAGGAGUAAUUGCUGUUUGCAGGUGUACACGAAUGUAUGUUGAUCACAUUUGUCGGGUUCUGUUGGAUGAGGUUGUGACCAUAAUGCCUCAUGGCUAUGCUGUCAUUGACCUGGAGAGUUUGAACCCAAUGGAAAGAGAGGAUAUCUAUCUGUCUAGAUUUUUGGCUCUAGUUUUGCAGUUCAUCUCGCAGAGGCAUAGGCCAGUACGUGGAAGUGCUUCAAGGCUGCUGCUCGACUAUAUACAAACUUUUCCUUGCAAGACCUCUCUCACAGCAGCUGGUUGUUAUCUCUGUGCAGCUCCUGGCAGCAAAGGAACCAAAGUCCUUGUUUGCUGCUCCGUUCAAUCUGCUCUUCCUGCAAAAACAGAAUUAUAUUCCACAUAUUCUGGCCAAGGGAGGAAGCAAUGCUUUUCAUAUGAUGUGGAGCAAAUAGUCGUAGAUCAAAAAUCUCUACUAGAGCACAUGGUUCCAGAUGCUUCACAUGUUCAUUUUCUAGAUGCGGUGUCUUCUGACUCUGUUCUGGCUGAAUCCCAGCAGCUCAAAAUUCUUAGCGAGUCAACCUCCGAGUACAUCUCACAGUUGCAGAUGAAAGAGAAACAAAUAUUUAAGUCUAAGUCAGAAAUUAGAUCUAGCAGUGAUUCGAAGAAUGAAGUAGAAUUGGUGCCUAUUAAAGAACCUUUUCAACCAGGGCAAACAUGUUACUUUAUGAACAGGUUCUUUGUGACAUGGAUAUCAAAUGAUGAAAUUGAUUCAUGUUAUAAUUCCUUAGAAGAUGGUGACCAAACAAGGCAUCAGGAUUGCAGUGUGUGCAAGAUGGGUGACAUGGUAGCUUAUGUUCGUCACAUGAUUGAUAAAGACUGGCUGUUUCUUGCAAAAUUGUCAAAGGCUCAGGAUUCCUACAAUUUUAAACAGCAGCAGUUCCUACUUAAUAAUGCAAUGGAGCAAGUGAAUGGGAAUAUGAGCUUAUUUUGCAACUAUGCAAGGUCAUCAGCUCAACAGGCCCUAAGAAACUUGAAAUCUAUUCCUGUUGCUGCUCGAAGAGGUUUACCUGUCGUAGUUAGCGUGGAGGGUAUCCUGUUAAGCAUUCCAAGCAUCGGUUUCAAGCGAUGUCCGUCCUUGUUGAUAUCUGCAGAAUUCAGUCCCAGAGUACCACUUGGUGGAGGACAUAGUUCUUUCAUUUAGUUCGCUAAUCUUCAGUUUAUGUGACGACAGGAUCAUUUCAACAGUUGCUCCAGCGUAAGAGCUGUUGCAUGACAUUAGUGUGAAGGAGUGCACUAUGAGUGUUUGCUCCCGUUAAGACGAAGCAUCCACUCAAGGUCUUCUGAGGCUGUGAAUAGCAUUUAAGCGCCCGCUUGCAGUUUGAUGUGGUUUUUCGACUUAUUAACUUGCCCAAUUGCAACCCUAAGAUAAACCAUGUUUAGGUGGUUGAGACUUGAGAAUUAAUUCUCAAUUCUAAGAUUAGAGAGGUUUAGAGGAUGCUAAGAGAUGUAAUUCGCUUGUAUCAUCCUCUUAUAAUGCACUAAUGUCCUAGUGCAAUAUGGUGGUUUUUCAUCCCAAACUUGGGUUUUCAUGUACAUAUUCUUUGUGUUAUUUAUUGCUUGUACUUUAUUCUUUGAAUUUUACAUAUUAUACUUCAAUUGAAGAGUUAUUUCACCUUUA